UUUUUCCCUUUCUAUUUCUUUAUUCCCCUUUUUGCGAGUUAUUUUUUUCCCUUUUCUGGAACUUUGCUGCGCACUUCAUUCUCGAAGAACAACGACACCAUAAGCUUUCUUUGUGCUCGAAUCUGGUGAAAACGGCACCAAAACCGCCAUUUUUUUUAGAUAUGAGACAUAGAGACUCUAAUCACUGGAGCACACAAACUGGAGCACCAAGGUAGCAUGUCCCAACACAAGAGUCUCAAAGUCAAAGUCAGGGAGGAAGUUCCUCAACACCAAGGCAACAUGUCCCAACACAAGAGUCUCAAGCUUAUGUGCCUAUGCAUGAAAGAGGUAUUGGUGUAUACACCUACCCAAAUGGAUUUCAGAGACAGUCAUGGCAAACUGGAAACAAAAGGAAGCCUAAUUCUGAAGCAACUACUACAACUGAAACCAUUACAAGACUAUGAAGAGUUGAAGUACUAGCAUCAAGGCAGAGCAGCAACCCUUCUGUUUCUGGUUUUUUUAUUUUUAUUUUUUUUUUCUACAAAAUCUGGCAAAACAUUGCAAAAUUUAUGCCUAAAUAACAUGCUCAAUGAACCUGUUUUGUUGCUGGUUAAGCUGCUGUUGUUGAUGAACUUAUGGCUGGGAGCAAGUCUUUUUCUGGUUCAAUUGGUGCUUGUAAUGCAGAAGCUCAUGCCAUGUUUUUUGGCCUCAAAUAUGCGUAUGAUGCUGGGCUUAGGAGAUUGAAGGCCUCUUCGGAUUGCCUUCAUCUAAUCAACUUGCUGCUGUCUGUUUGAUGUUCUAAGCAUGACUAGUUUGUUUGAUGUUUGUUGCUUUUCUUUUCAGUCUAGAACUUGUAAUAAGGUAGCUGUGAAUGAUAUUCUAAGCAAAACUUUCCCUCAAUUUGAUUGAGGAGCAGCUGUGGAUGGAGGACUGCCCAUCUGUUUCUUUUAAUCGAAUGCCUGCAGGUUUACACUAAAAAAA